rnacentral:rRNA from 1 species
AGCUUCAGUAGCGUAUAUUAAAGUUGUUGCAUUUAAAAAGCUCGUAGUUGGUGGCUCACUUACCUCAUUUGCGCGUUUCUAGCUGCGCUCCUUGUGGAAAGUUGGUAUUUGGUGGCCGCACCACGUACACUGUGAGUAAAUUAGAGUGAUCCAAACAGGUUAAGCCUGAAUGUUUCAGCAUGGUAUGGGUUGUUGACAGCGCCAACUUUUCGCAUUCGUAUGUGAAGGUUGUGUGAAGUAAAGGUUAAUAAAGAUGGAUGAUGGGAUUCGUAUUGAGUUGCUAGAGGUGAAAUUCUUGGACCAACUCAAGACGUUCUGAAGCGAAAGCUUUUCCCACAGAUACUCUUA